rnacentral:rRNA from 1 species
UACGGAGGGUGCGAGCGUUGUCCGGAUUUAUUGGGUUUAAAGGGUGCGUAGGUGGUCUUUUAAGUCUGGUUUGAAAGCUGGUCGCUCAACGAUCAGAUGUGGCUGGAAACUGGGGGACUUGAAUGGAUUGGCGGUAGCUGGAACGGGUCAUGUAGCGGUGAAAUGCAUAGAUAUGACCCAGAACCCCGAUUGCGAAGGCAGGCUACUACGAUUUGAUUGACACUGAGGCACGAGAGCAUGGGGAGCCAACAGG